GCGUCCGAUUAGCCAGUUGGCGGGGGCAACGGCCCACCAAGGCGACGAUCGGUAGGGGUUCUGAGAGGAAGGCCCCCCACAAUGGAASUGAGACACGGUCCAUACUCCUACGGGAGGCAGCAGUGAGGAAUAUUGGUCAAUGGGCGGAAGCCUGAACCAGCCAUGCCGCGUGCAGGAAUGAGGCCCUACGGGUCGUGAACUGCUUUUMGCRCGGAGCAAUAAGGGGGGCUCGUCCCCUAGAUGAGAGUACGCGCGGAAUAAGCAUCGGCUAASUCCGYGCCAGCAGCCGCGGUAAUACGGAGGAUGCGAGCGUUAUCCGGAUUCAUUGGGUAUAAAGGGUGCGUAGGCGGCCCUGCAAGUCAGUGGUGAAAUGGUGUGGCUCAACCAUAGCAUUGCCGUUGAAMCUGGUUUUCUUGAGUGUAAAUGAGGUAAGCGGAAUGUGUCGUGUAGCGGUGAAAUGCAUAGAUGUGACACAGAACUCCAAUUGCGAAGGCAGCUUACUGGGAUACAACUGACGCUGAGGCACGAAAGCG
rnacentral:rRNA from 1 species